rnacentral:tRNA from 1 species
GAGGAUAUAGCUCAGUGGUAGAGCGUGUGCUUAGCAGGCACGAGGUCUUGGGUUCAAUCCCCAAUACCUCU